CGUGUCUCUAGUGCCAGCCGCCGCGGUAAUACGUAGGGGGCAAGCGUUAUCCGGAUUUACUGGGUGUAAAGGGAGCGUAGACGGCUGUGCAAGUCUGAAGUGAAAUGCCGGGGCCCAACCCCGGAACUGCUUUGGAAACUGUACAGCUAGAGUGCAGGAGGUGUGAGCGGAAUUCCUAGUGUAGCGGUGAAAUGCGUAGAUAUUAGGAGGAACACCGGUGGCGAAGGCGGCUCACUGGACUGUAACUGACGUUGAGGCUCGAAAGCGUGGGGAGCAAACAGGAUUAGAUACCCCUGGUAGUCCACGCCGUAAACGAUGAUUACUAGGUGUCGGGGGGCCAAGGCCCUUCGGUGCCGGCGCAAACGCAUUAAGUAAUCCACCUGGGGAGUACGUUCGC
rnacentral:rRNA from 1 species